GAAAAAUAUAUGCGGAGAGAUUCCUCUCGCUCCAAAUCUGCAACACAGCAGAUGCUACAGCUGUAUUGAUGCAGUACUGGCCAAUAGGAGGAGACGUGCUUCCGUGACACCCAAUCUGAUGUCUGAUAAGAUGUGACAUGAGGAAAUCUGAUGAGAAUUCCUACAGUUUCUUAAAAACAGAACAAGAAACACAAUGCGACAGCAGAUCCAGAGCCAUCUGCAGACCUAUGGCCUUCAUAUCAUUCUUACUGAGGGCUGAAGUCAUGUACAUGUGCAUCUCCAAAAAACGGCCUGAGAACAUAAAAACAAGUAUGAUUGUGUCAACAUCUGAGUGCCAACCCCAUAUCCCUCUAACUUCAGUUCUCUCUGACCCUCUGGCUCCUCAUCUGCCUGGUCCAUCUCCAGAUUGGUCAGCAGACUCACAAACCACUCAAAGGAUUUCUGAUCUCGGUUGAUCCAAAUGAAGUCCACCUGCAGGAAGUUAGAAGAUGAUUAAAAACUUGAGUUGUGCAUGUUAUUUUCUGAAAUAAAAUAAAUAUUUUUUCCCAAACCUAUUUUUUAUUCUAGUUUCCAUUCGACUGAUCACCACUCUCACCUUCCUCAGUUUCAUUUCGUUGUCUUUGAUGGUUUCACACCAAGAGUAAUUACAGUUUGGGCAGUUUUGCUUUCUCAUGCGAUAACUGAAAAAAAAAAAAGACAAAAAUACAUUUUACAUACAAAUGCACAAAUUUUGCAUUUUCUUUCAUGCAAAGAAAACUUGACUUGAAUUUUAUGAAUGGAGAUGUUGUGUGUCUCACCGGCACAUAAUACUCUGUAAAAUGGAUGCAAAGGGAGUGAUGCCGAUUCCAGCGCCGAUAAGCACCGCAUGCUCAGAUGCAAAGAUCUGUCGAGUUGGGGUGCCAAAAGGUCCGUCCACAUAGCACUAACAAACAAAAGCAUAAACAAAUGCAUACAAUUCUUAUAAGACAAUCACUUUCAGUAAAUUUUAUAACAUUUUUUGUAAUCAAAUUACUUGCCUUAAUGUUACAAUAUCUGUGAUUUUCACUUAAUUUCGCUGUAAGCUGGAAGACAAAAAAAAUUAUAAUAAAUAAGUCUGGCUAAUGUGUAUCUUAUGUAUAAUAGAACAUCUAUUAUAAAACUCACUUCUUUUGUAGCCAGAGAGACGUCUCCCAGUUCUGCUUGGGCUACAGGGUCACCGACGGGCUUCUGGGAGUUUGGAUUGCAGCGCUCAGUCAGUGAAUGAUCAAGAAAAGCCCAGACCUGCGUUCUGCUCUUGUGGCGUCUGCUCCUCAGGCUGGCGGUGAGCCUCUUGUUGCUAACGGUUUGACUCUCCGACUGUCUGAAAUACUCAUACAAGCGGUUUGUCCACUGGCCCAUGGAACGAACAUGGAGCCACAGCAUAUCUGUUUGAGGGAGCGCUGCUGAUGGUAAACGGAUGCCACUCAUACUUGGCAAUAACAGGAAUGUUUAUAUACACAUAAUCUCCAGGUUUAAAUUGAAAGAAUGGAGGCCUCUUGAUCACCAAAUGUGUUACCUUUGAAAUAAAAGGCAGUAGAAGUGAGGCUUUCAGCAUGGAUGACUAACUAAAUGUUCCAGUAAACAAAAUACACCAAAAUAUGUACAUUGGCUCAGAUGAUACCUUUGAGGGCAAUAAGUUGACUUCAACUAUGUACAGCCCACCCAUGCGGGACACUGCUAUUCCAACAAGUUUCUCAAUGAGGAAUAUCAGUCCCGGUGCCACAAACCACUUCCAAAAGUUUGCACAGUGGACGAUCAACAGGGCCAUAACCCAGACGUAGGAAAGAUGAGACCAGUAGAACACCUACACAAAAACAAAACCUUUCCUUGAAAGGCUUGGAUAAAUCAUAUUUGAAUUGCUUUUGUUUGUUGGUAUGUAUGGCUGAAUUAAUGUGCUGCUAUUUGCAAACAGAAUUCUUUGCUAACUUGUUUUUAUGGCCUUGAAACAAUUGUCUUUUUCAGCUUCAUAUUCUCCAAAUCAGCAGAUAUUCACAGAAGGAUGAUAUAGUGAUAUAGUAAUCACAGCAGAUUGUUGCUUCUCAUGAAUACAAUCAGCAAGCCAUCACCUCAAAAUGACCACUGCGUCUGACGAACGUGCUGGAGCACACCACCAUCAAGCAGAUGAGAACCUGCAGAACUACGCCCGUGAUGGAGGCGGUGCCAUCGACCCAGCCAAUCCCGGGACGGACGGUGAAAAGAUACUCCCACAGCUGGUACAUGCCAUCAUUCUGAGACAUUCGGGCUAAGAACAGAGGGAAAGGGAGAUAAAGAAAUAUUCUUUAUUAAUGCAUUGCUUUUGUGAUGUUAUAAGGUCAUAUAGCCUACUUUAUACACUAAAUGUAAUCCUACAAAGCUAUCAUACGUGAUACGCAAUCUAAUAUUUCAAGAUAAUUACCGAACUGAAGCAACUUUGGUUUACUUGUUUGUCCAUGAAUCAUUUUUGGUGGCUUUUGAGGAACAUUUAUUCGUUCAUCUCUCAGUCAUCAUUGAAUUGCCAUUGUAUUAUACGUUUCAUUCCCCACAAUAAAAACAACAUCAUCUUAUUAA